AGCGUUAUUCGGAUUAUUGGGCGUAAAGGGCGCGUAGGCGGUCUUGUCGGUCAGAUGUGAAAGCCCAGGGCUCAACCCUGGACGUGCAUUUGAAACAGCAAGACUUGAGUACGGGAGAGGAAAGCGGAAUUCCUGGUGUAGAGGUGAAAUUCGUAGAUAUCAGGAGGAACACCGAUGGCGAAGGCAGCUUUCUGGACCGAUACUGACGCUGAGGCGCGAAGGUGUGGGUAGCGAACGGGAUUAGAUACCCCGGUAGUCCAUCRCAGUAAACGAUGUUCACUAGGUGUAUSGGAUAUUAAAAYCUGMUGUGCCCAAGCUAACGCAUUAAGUGAUCCGCCUGGGGAGUACGUCGCAAG
rnacentral:rRNA from 1 species